GGAGACGUUGGCGGCAGAGGCGGAGGCGGACGGGGUCAGCCCAAAGCAGAGGCUCGGCCAUGAACUUACCCGGGACAGCGGCGGCGGCGGACCUUUUGGCCAUCUUCUCGCAGAGUGCUCCCUGCUAACGGGGACAGAUUUUAACAUUAUGGCAGGGAGGCAUCAGAAUCGUAGUUUUCCUCUUCCAGGAGUUCAGUCAAGUGGUCAAGUACAUGCAUUUGGAAAUUGUUCAGACAGUGAUAUUUUGGAGGAGGAUGCUGAAGUGUAUGAACUUCGAUCCAGAGGAAAAGAGAAAGUCCGAAGAAGUACAUCAAGAGAUAGACUUGACGACAUUAUAGUAUUAACAAAAGAUAUACAAGAAGGAGAUACAUUAAAUGCAAUAGCCCUUCAGUACUGUUGUACGUGUUCCAUUUCUCAAUGAAUGCCAUCGUCCAUCAAGUUGACCAAACCAGAAAUCUAAGCUUCAUACUAGACCCACUUUAUCUCUCUGACAUGAAUCAGGUAGCAGAUAUCAAGAGAGUUAACAAUCUCAUCAGUGAUCAAGACUUUUUUG
rnacentral:lncRNA from 10 species